UUUUUCUUGUACUACAGUACUAGCUGAUGUCUCCUGUACAAUGUUGAGUAAAACCAACUAUGGUGUACCAUUUGCCUUGGCCUUGACAUUGAAGGGAGUUCUUUAACAUUUUACCAUUAGCUGCUGUUCUUGAUGUAGGUAUUUUGUAUAUAAUCUUUAUAAUAAUAUGAAAGUUUCCUUAUUACUAGUUUGUAAGGAGAUUUUAUCAUAAACGGAUGUUAUCUUACUUAAUGAUGUGUUUGCAUCUUUGGAAAGAUGUUUUUUCUCCAUGAAGUUGAUAAUGUGUUGAUAUAUCUGUUUCACGAAUUACAUUGACUCAUAACUUUACUGUCCUUGACUGGGUUGCAAAUCAAAUAAACAGCAACAGUUUAUCUUUGUUUACAGUUUUGCUAUUUUGUUCAUCACGGAAUUUUUUUGCAUUAGUUUUGAUUUUUAAAAAUAUUACAUUUUUUUAAUCUCAAGUUCUGGGUUUGUUGGUGCUCCCUUAAUUACUGUACCUGAGACAGGUGGCUACAUGCUGAUCCAGCCCUGGAGACAGCUUGGUCCAGGCCGAGUCUUUCUCUUGGUCUCCUGUGCCUGUGGAGGCUCCGAUGUACUGGAGCUGGGCAGAUGCCACCAGGCAGAGGAUAGCUUUUGUCCUAGCUCUUGUUAAAGUGUUCUCGUUUUUUAUUAAUCCUCUGAGCAUUUCUUCCUUUCUUGAUAGCUCCAAAGUGCCUUUAAAGAGACAGUUUUAAUAUUUUAUCCAGCUGUCUUUGUUAUUCUCCUCCAGAGCCUCAUUCAAUGUAUUUAUCCCAUUGUGCCUCCAGAAAUGAUACUCUGGAAUGUUUAUUACUGUGAGAUAUAAAAACCUGAGUUGUCUGCUGAGCCAAGCCAGUGCCUGAUGGCUGGCGCCUGGGUUACUUGAUUCCACUGUGAGGCAACCAGACUGUCCCAGUUAACUUUACCAGGAGUAAUGCUGAGAGGUCAUCCUGCUUGGGAAAUGGCACAAACACAGAAACUCAUUCCAAAUGGCCAACUUUUAAAAAUUGGAUUUGUUCUUCAAGGACAGCUAAUGCCUUUAUAAUCCAGGCACAGUUCCAAGAGUUUUUAUAUGGUAACUCGCUAAAUUCUCACAACCAUCCUAUGUGAUAGAUACCAUUAUUAUCAGCUCCCUUUUUGCAGAGAAGGAAGACAGGACUGGAAGUUCGCUCACUUGCCUGUGGUCACAUGGGCAGAAAUUGGGCAGCCAGGAUUUGAGCUAGUUUUGCUUCCAAUUCUAUGGUUGUAAACACUAUAGCUAUUGCCUUUUAGGGUUGCAGAAUGAACUGUGGUUAGUGAGUGGUAGCACACACCAAUGGUCAACAAAGAGUUGUUGUAUUAACCCAGUUUCCUGUCUCCUGCAGUGGCUCCUGUGAGUAGAACAUGUAAAAGUUAUAGUCCGUGUGUCCACAGCUAGCUAUCAGUUCAUGCCCUAAAUAGGUUAAUUGCUCUCUGUAAGGAUUUUUACCAGAGUAAAACCACCUCAUAUGUCGUUUGCAUUCAAAACAUAUUGAUGACUCUUGAAGGAGCUGGGAUUAUCUGAACAUUGAUUAUGUGUAUGUGUUUCUUUAAUUACUCCUUGCUUUCUUAAGGGAGCCUUUUUAUCAAUAGUAGCCAUCAACUGUAUUAAUUCCCAAGUGUGCCCCACUUAAGCUUGCAAACAAUAUGUAACAACAUAGACAAAUCACUUCAGUUAGCUUUGAAAUGGCUUUGAUGGGUUAAGCAGACCAUAUUCUAGAGUUUUAUAUCCCUUGUGUUCUACAAUUGAAUUUAGUUCCAGGAUUGUAUUGAACAAAUACAAACUUUCAUCUUAUAUAAUGAUACCUGGCUUACAUAGAAUUAAUUUGGUUAUUUUUUCUGGUUUCUUUUGAAAGAAGUAUUGGCAUAGGGCUCAGGAAUGUAAAAGACUAAAAAGAAUUGGACCAAAAGAAACAUGAAAGUCAUGACUUUCACUAUUCCCUCCUCUUUUUUUUUUGUUUUUUAAAAAAAGGCUAUAUUUCUCCUUAAAAUAUGUGAAAAUUUGCUACUUUUUGAAAUCAUAAUAAAAAUAUUUCAGCUUGGAAUUCUUUCUUAUCAUUCUCCUUUUUCUUCUUUGUGAUUAAUUUAGUACUAUCUUAGGCAAGAUACAUUUACAGAAAAAUUUUUUCUUUGUCAAGAAAGAAUCGAAUUAUGGAUUUAAAAUGUAUUUCUUGCAUCAGUUGAAAGAACAUCAAGUGCUUCAAUAACGGAAUUGACAAAUGAUGGAUCUACCUAUUGAUAGUAGUUUGGAUUCCCUGGGAAGUAAUCUCUAAGGUGGGGACCAGUGGGCAUGAAGUUUUUAGGGAAGACCCCUGGGACCAACCCAUGUGGAAGGGAGGGCAGGAAGCAUAGUGAGGCAGAAGGAGAAGCUGGGCUCUGUUGCAGUCUCAAAAAGGCCUCAGCCGGCCCCAUGGACACCCGAGGAUGACUCUUCAGAGUUGCUCUGAUUUGGGGCAAGGCUGUAGGCCUUCAUCCUCUUCCUUCAACCAACUGGACAAGGGGCAUGCGAGGAGAGGGAGUGAGGCUUUGGAUCAGGCAUUUCUCUUUAGUUAAUGCAAUUCCAGAAGAACCGACUGCUGCAGCACUCCUGGACCCUGCAGAGUAAGCACUUCAUUCUGCAGGAGGAUCUGACAGCACACUGCAGCUCCACUCUGCUAUUCACUUUUUUAGUUCUGGCUGUCUUGCAAAAGCCAAUGUUCCCCCUGUUUUUUGUGUGCCACUCUCUCCUUUGAGCAUAGAACCCCCAUCCAUUCUAAUCACCCACCUGUGCAUUUUUAUUCCUGUUGCUUCUCAGGCUUCUCACUUUGCAAAUUCUGUAUUUACUACUCCUCCAGGUCCAGUUCAAGAGACUUCUCCAGGGAGACUUCCAUCACGUCUCCAGCUGUCACCAAUUGCCCAUGACAUUCACUAUUUAAUAAUUUGGAACUCAUCAUGAGAUAUCUCAAUAUAUAUCGUGUAUUUUGUUUCCAUCUGUAUGUUUUUUUCUUUCUCUAAAUUAUAGCAAGACUGUGAUGGUUCCAGAUUGUUUACAAUCUAAUAAGGAAAUAAGCCCUUUGUUUUUCAUGUUUUCUGGCAUUUUGUAAUAUACGCAUUAGAGGCUCAAAAAUACUUGUUAUUAAGUGGAUCUCUACUUAGCUUCUUGGCCAAGAAUGUAGAGUGUGUAGCAAAUGUGUUGAAUCACUGUUUUAAUUUCAUAGUUUUAGAUUUUAUUUAUGCCUAUCUCUUCUGACAUCCCAGAUUUACUAAUCAUUCACUCGACAAAUAUGAAUUGAAGUCUGUUGUGUUCUGACACUGUUGUGAGCAAAGGGGAUAUGGUGGUGAUGUAGCUUGACUCUGUCCCCACCCAAAUCUCAUCUUGAAUUGUAGCGCUCAUAAUUCUCAUGUGGUCUGAGAGGGACCCAGUGGGAGAUAAUUGAAUCAUGGAGGCAGUUUCCCCUGUACUGUUCUCAUGAUAGUGAAUAAGUCUCACGAGAUCUGACGAUUUUAUAACGAGUUUCCCCUUUUGCUUGGCUCUCAUUCUCUCUUGCCUGCCACCAUGUAAGAUGUACCUUUCACCUUCCAUCAUGAUUGUGAGGCCUCCCCAGCCAAGUGGAACUGUGAGUCCAUUAAACCUCUUCUUCUUUAUAAAUUACCCAGUCUUGGGUACAUCUUUAUCAGCAGCAUGAGAACUGACUAAUAAAGGUGGUGAACAAGACAAGGGACUUGCCAUCACAGAGAUUAAAUUCUGAUGAGAGGCAGAUAAUGCAACUGAAACAGAGAUGAGCAAGAUGGUUACACAAUGUGAUAGCUGCUAUGGCAGCAAUAAACAUAGUGCAGAGAUGAAAUAUGCCACUGAGGUCUGGGACGAGGUGAUAUCACCUUCAGAAGAAAAUGAUUUUGCUAUGACCCAAGAAAGAAGACAAGCAUUUCAGGCAGAAGGAAAGGAAUUCAGGAGGCAGAAAGAACUCCAUGUCCUUUGAGAAAUGCAAGAGUUCAGAGGGGUUAGACGGUAGUUUGCUCAGGGGAACAUGGUAAUGGAUGAGGUUGGAGAAGGUGUCAGUCAGGGCAAAAGGGUUGAAUUUUAUCCUAGGAGUAGUGGGAAGUCAGAGAAGAGUGAAAGUUUAUUGUCAUUGUUACUUGUUUGUUUAAAAUAGAGGACAGAGGCAGAUCUGCCAUGAAACUAAUGAAGCUUAAGCUUCAGGACCUACCACUUGUGUGAGUCCUUUUAAGAAAGUGGGAGGUGGCUCAUGCCUAUAAUACCAGCACUUUGGGAGGCUGAGGUGGGCAGAUCAUGAGGUUAGGAGAUUGAGACCAGCCUGACCAACAUGGUAAAACCCCAUCUCUACUACAAAUACAAAAAUUAGCCAGGUGUGGUGGUGCACUCCUGUAAUCCCAGCUACUCAUGAGGCUGAAGCAGGAGAAUCGCUUGAACCCUGGAGACAUAGGUUGCAGUCAACUGAGAUCAUGCAACUGCACUCCAGCCUGGGCAACAGAGCAAGACCGUGUCUCAAAACAAACAAACAAAACAAACCUGGGAGGAACUGUGGCUUUCGUAGCUUUGUAUGUGUUCAAGGUCAUGGUUUUAUAAAAUUGGCAAUUGUUUCGGAUCACUCUCUUUUUCCAUUCUGACAUCCCUUCCAUCACACUCCCUUUUGUGGAGUGACAUUGGAGUGGCCAUGGUUAUUUUUCAUAUUUGGCUCCAAGGAAGUCAAAACAUCUAGCUUGCGCAUGGUGAAAUACAGUUAUAUGGCUCAUAGACAUUUCUGUGUUUGGCUAAUGUUGUUAGCCAUCUUAGUAUAGGUGCUGCUUACCCAGUAUUAUGACAUGAAGGUGUAUGACAAUUGGUUUUCAUUGCAAUGUGAGUGUGUCUUACAGCACCCAGCCCUAGGAGUAAGCAGGUAGUGGAAAGGAAAAGGUUUAAGGUAUAUGUGGUGAAUGCUAGUCCAUGGAACAUUCUAGUCAUCAGAUGCAUACAAUUCUAAGCAGAGGAUUUAUUCUCUUUUUAUACUUACCUUUUAGGAUAACAAAGCACAAUUAUAAAUGCCAAUUUUUUCCUUUUCAAAUAAGAAUUAUGUAAAAUAGAACUUAGAAUUCUUGUGUUUGCAUGAUAAGCAGUGAGGAUAUGUGUGUGUAUGUGUAUGUGUGAAGUUGCAUGUUAAAUUAUCAAUACAAAAAAUCUAUAUUAAAAAGCAAAUUUCAUCCGACCACACUACAAGACUGAAUUACCUUUCUGUUAUCUGUGUAGGAAAUGAUAUUACAAAAAAGUGUUAUAUGAGGAUGUAAUCAAAGGCGGUGCAGUGAGAAAUUUAAAUAAAACAUGUCAUAGUAGUGUGCCCAAUGGAUAAUUUAUAAAAAUGGCAUAUUGCUUUUCUAUAUAUUUACUUUUGUAUUUAACUUUAUAUUUAUUUUGGGGUUCUUUGUCUUUAAGAACUCCCUUCCCCAAUUUUAUAAGCUUCCAGCCUCACAAAGCCUGGAUCCAUCUCUGAUGGAAAUGAUGCCGUGAUCUGAUUUCUAUUUUAUGA
ensembl:lncRNA